UUUGAGACUUUAGCUUCCCCAACUCAUUUUCCUAAGUCAGUUCAACUAAAAUGUUGGGUACACUUAAGAUAUUAAGUUUACCAGUGCCCAACUAAUCCGUUUAAUCAGAGUAGUUCACGCAACAAAGAUUUCUUAGUUGUAUGAGUGGCAAUGCAAGGAAACCCCGCCCACCGAGCCUUCCUCGCAGAACAGGUCGCCAUGCUUGAAGACUGACGAAAAGCUUCAAUUUUUGAGUCAAGAGUUCCAGAGGCCUUACAUUUUCAACGGACAUUUAUCAGUAGCCCCUGCAAGGAAACCCCAUCGCGUCAGAACAGGUGCCGCGCCACGGCUGACGAAGCCUCCAUUUUGAAUUAAGACUUCUUGAUUGAGGUCAUAGGCCUAAAUUUACAACGGACAUUUAACAGAAGCCCCUGCAAGGAAACCCCACUGCCUCAGAACAGGUGCCAGGGCUGACGAAGCCUCCAUUUUGAAUUAAGACUUCUUAAUACAGUAAUUGAGAACUAAAGCUCAAAAAAGGCAAUGAGACGUAUAAAAGAGAUGGUUCUCUACUGACUGUUAAUUCUGCUAUGAAGAGGGACAUACUCAACAAGGUAGCAAGUGCUAUGUAUGAGUACAAUGCAUAUCCAACAACCAAGCAAAUUGAGGAUGUUGCUCAAGUCCUCAUCGAAAAGCAUCCCUGUUUGAGAGAGCCAGGAUCUACCCAUGGGUGGUACUGCUGGAAGUUCAGCCUCGCUUUUAAAAUGGGUAACCUCCGUCAGAAAUAUCGUAUUGCAGGAUGCCCAGAGCUUACAAUCAAUCAUAAGAGGUCUACAGGCACAUCAUUGGGUAAAAAAAUGAAG